CCACACUUAAGAAAUAGUGCACGCCAUUAAUGAACUCUUCGGAGUGCCGAUCGGCAUUAUACAUCCAAUUACGUGUUACCAUCUGCAUUAAAUAUAACAUAUAUAUUAUGAAAUGCACACAUAUAGUUUCUCAUCUUAUUGCACAACAUGUCUAAGAUACAUAGUUGAUUAAUUUAGAAAAGCUUGGCUACAACAAAUACAAUCGCAACUAGCACUAAAAAAACCAAAACUAAAAUGCACUUAAGCAACAUAAUUAGUUCGCGUC
rnacentral:lncRNA from 1 species